rnacentral:rRNA from 1 species
GAUGAACGCUGGCGGCGUGCCUAAUACAUGCAAGUCGAGCGAACGGACGAGAAGCUUGCUUCUCUGAUGUUAGCGGCGGACGGGUGAGUAACACGUGGAUAACCUACCUAUAAGACUGGGAUAACUUCGGGAAACCGGAGCUAAUACCGGAUAAUAUUUUGAACCGCAUGGUUCAAAAGUGAAAGACGGUCUUGCUGUCACUUAUAGAUGGAUCCGCGCUGCAUUAGCUAGUUGGUAAGGUAACGGCUUACCAAGGCAACGAUGCAUAGCCGACCUGAGAGGGUGAUCGGCCACACUGGAACUGAGACACGGUCCAGACUCCUACGGGAGGCAGCAGUAGGGAAUCUUCCGCAAUGGGCGAAAGCCUGACGGAGCAACGCCGCGUGAGUGAUGAGGAUCUUCGGAUCGUAAAACUCUGUUAUUAGGGAAGAACAUAUGUGUAAGUAACUGUGCACAUCUUGACGGUACCUAAUCAGAAAGCCACGGCUAACUACGUG